GCAACAUGUGCGUUCAGACCUAAGCUAUCUGGGCAUAUUAUUACUGAAUGGCGCUCAGAGCACACACAUACAGUUCAAUUGCCAUGGAGCCAAAGUCUUUCCCAUAGUCUUUCAUUAUACGAAUGGGCUCCAUGGCAUAGCUAUCUGGGGUAUCACUGCUCAAGCAGGGAAAGCACAAAAUGACCCGGCUUUCUUGUCUUUGCAGGGGAAAAUCAAGCCUCUCUCCCCUUUUCCAAACAGACUAACAGGGUAUCUGAUCUCCUGCCGGUCAGUGCCCUUGUUAGUCCAGCAGCCCACCCACAAAACACAAUCAACAGCACAGUCCACCCACAAU